CCUACGGGAGGCAGCAGUGGGGAAUAUUGCACAAUGGGGGAAACCCUGAUGCAGCGACGCCGCGUGAGCGAUGAAGUAUUUCGGUAUGUAAAGCUCUAUCAGCAGGGAAGAAAAUGACGGUACCUGACUAAGAAGCCCCGGCUAACUACGUGCCAGCAGCCGCGGUAAUACGUAGGGGGCAAGCGUUAUCCGGAUUUACUGGGUGUAAAGGGAGCGUAGACGGCGAUGCAAGCCAGAAGUGAAAGCCCGGGGCUCAACCACGGGACUGCAUUUGAAACUGUACAGCUGGAGUGUAGGAGAGGUAGGCGGAAUUCCUAGUGUAGCGGUGAAAUGCGUAGAUAUUAGGAGGAACACCAGUGGCGAAGGCGGCCUGCUGGACUAUGACUGACGUUGAGGCUCGAAAGCGUGGGGAGCAAACAGGAUUAGAUACCCUGGUAGUC
rnacentral:rRNA from 1 species